rnacentral:rRNA from 1 species
AGCGAACGCUGGCGGCAGGCCUAACACAUGCAAGUCGAACGAACUCUUCGGAGUUAGUGGCGGACGGGUGAGUAACACGUGGGAACGUGCCUUUAGGUUCGGAAUAACUCAGGGAAACUUGUGCUAAUUCCGAAUGUGCCCUUCGGGGGAAAGAUUUAUCGCCUUUAGAGCGGCCCGCGUCUGAUUAGCUAGUUGGUAGUGUAAUGGACUACCAAGGCUACGAUCAGUAGCUGGUCUGAGAGGAUGAUCAGCCACAUUGGGACUGAGACACGGACCAAACUCCUACGGGAGGCAGCAGUGGGGAAUCUUGCGCAAUGGGCGAAAGCCUGACGCAGCCAUGCCGCGUGAAUGAUGAAGGUCUUAGGAUUGUAAAAUUCUUUCACCGGGGACGAUAAUGACGGUACCCGGAGAAGAAGCCCCGGCUAACUUCGUGCCAGCAGCCGCCGUAACAC